rnacentral:rRNA from 1 species
CGACGAGUUUGAUCCUGGCUCAGGACGAACGCUGGCGGAAUGCUUUACACAUGCAAGUCGAACGGUAGAGGGGGCAACCCCUUGAGAGUGGCGAACGGGUGAGUAAUAUAUCGGAACGUGCCCAGUCGUGGGGGAUAACGUAGCGAAAGUUACGCUAAUACCGCAUACGAUCUAAGGAUGAAAGCGGGGGACUCGCAAGAGCCUCGCGCGAUUGGAGCGGCCGAUAUCAGAUUAGGUAGUUGGUAGGGUAAACGGCCUACCAAGCCAACGAUCUGUAGCUGGUCUGAGAGGAUGAUCACGCC